GACGAACGCUGGCGGCGUGCUUAAUACAUGCAAGUCGAACGGAAAGGCGCUGCUCUUGCGGGGUGCUCGUGUGGCGAACAGGUGAGUGUAACGUGUGUAACACGCCCUUGACUUUGGGGUAACACCAGGAAAAUGGGGCUCAAAUCGGAUAGAAGCUCCUGCUGCACGUGGGGGGUUGGUAAGAUUCGGCGGUUGGGGAUGGACUCGCGGCUUAUGAGCUUGUUGGUGGGGUAGUGGCUUACCAAGGCUUUGACGGGUAGCCGGCCUGGGAGGGGGACCGGCCACAUUGGGACUGGGGUACGGGCCAGAGGGGUACGUGAGGCAGCGGUGGGGAACAUUGCGGAAUGGGCGGAAGCCUGAUACAACAACGUCGGGUGCGGAAGGACGGCCGUCGGGUUGUAAACCGCUUUCGCCUGGAACGAAGACUGAGUGACGGUAAUUGAUAAGAAAGCACCGGCUAACUACGUG
rnacentral:rRNA from 1 species